rnacentral:rRNA from 1 species
GCGCCCUUUUGGCCAUUCCGAAGGGCAUGCCUGUUUGAGUAUCAUGAACACCUUCAACUCUUCAUGGUUUUCCAUGAUGAGCUUGGACUUUGGGGGGUUUUGCUGGCCUACGGCCGGCUCCUCUAAAAUGAAUCAGCUUACCAGUGUUUGGUGGGUACCAUGGGUGUGAUAACUAUCUACGCUUGUGGUUUUCCACCAGGUAACCUACAGCAGUUGGAGGUUCAUUGGAGCUCAUAAAUGUCUCUCCUCAGUGAAGACAGCCCUUUGAACGUUCGAUCUCAAAUCAGGUAGGACUACCCGCUGAACUUAAGCAUAUCAAUAAGCGGAGG